UGAGCAACCUGCCCUUGACUCUGGAAUAACAGUUGGAAACAGCUGCUAAUACCGGAUACGACCUCCGACGGCAUCAUCUGGAGGUGGAAAGCUCCGACGGUCAAGGAUGGGCUCGCGGCCUAUCAGCUUGUUGGUGAGGUAACGCUCACCAAGGCUUCGGACGGGUAGCCGGCCUGAGGAGGGUGACCCGGCCACACUGGGACUGAGACACGGCCCAGACCUCCGUACGGGAGCAG
rnacentral:rRNA from 1 species